UUAUAACCAAAGAAGCAAGUUUCUCAAUGUUCUCAAGCAUGAAAAUGACAAUUAAGUAUGUUUUCAUUGAACAAUUGUUGGUCAAAAUUGGCAAUGUUGGCAAUUUCGAAUAUUCCCAAAUCUCAAGAACCCUAAUCUUUUCAAUUUCGGAUUCUACACAUUUCUACCACAAAAUUAGCAACCCAACAUGAUAUAUAAGAUUUUCCUAGUCAAAUUCAUAAGAAUCAAGGAAGAAACUAAGCUAAAUUCGAGUUUUAAUUUCUAGGGUUCAUGAACCCACGAAAUUCAUCUUUGAAUUUCCAUACCUUGCUUGGAUUAGAAUGAAAAGAUGAAUUGAUUCAAGAAAAUAGACUAUAGGGGCGAAAGCUUGGAUUUAGAAACAAGAAUGGGCUGAUUUGGUUAAGAUUUGAGUGAGUUAUGGGGUUUUUUUUUUUGUUGGGAAAUUUGAGAGAUUGUGUUUGUGUUUGGGGGAGAAGUGGGGAAAACGAGAGAGAGAGAGAGACGGGCGCGGGGUAGGGUUAGGGUUAGGUCGGGUCGGGUCAUCGGGUUUCGGGUCAAGAAAUCAUACCUGGGCUGUCGUGGAGCGGCUUCGGUACCUCGC
rnacentral:lncRNA from 1 species